ensembl:lncRNA
AUUUCUGUGGUCGUGUAAUUUAAGUAUUCCCAGGAAGACAUGCUGGUGGAUACAAGACAGAAAAGUGACCCAAAACAGCCAUAGAGCAAAUGCAUCCUCCCACAGUGCUUCUGUUUGCUGCAAGGAGCGCAUGGCUGGAUAUGUAUAAAUCACAGCCCCAUUUAUGUGGAGGAAGACUGUAAAGAAAGCUUAAGCUCAUCCAGACCACUGCUGAAGGUUCUGUGUGGGGGGGAAAUGCUCACCAAGCUGCAGGAAACCAUCAAAUAACCCAAAGGAAACACAGAUGCCGGCUGAUUUAACGUGUCCCCAUUUGCAGUCUAUAAAUACCUCUGUGGUGAGCUCUGAAGAUCUCAGUUUAUCUGUGAUGAGGAAAUGCAGGCAGAAAGCAGCCUCACAGACAAAUGGAAUGGAUUUCACAGCACCGCCAUUUGUUGCCUCUCCUUCUGCUGUGCCGCUUACACCACAGAAACAGCCCUGCAGCCCUAAUGGGAAACCUGUCCUACCCGGGCUCUAUGGCUUUAGGAAGGAUAUCGUCGGUGCUGUUGUGGCUUCAGUGCUCAACCACAGCUCCGGGUGUCAGAGCGUGCAGCAGACAAGGACAGCUCCCAGUCAGGUGUUCUUUUUCCAGAGGUCAGUGGAAGUCCCGUUCUCUCAAGGCAGCAGCACACUGAGAAUCAUUGCUGUGCUUUUCAGAGGAACAAACCAACAGUGGGAGCUGCAUGAAGUGCCAUGGAUGUGCAGCUGGAGCUCCUCUGUGGGGCCAAGGGGCGAUGUGUGUGGCACCAUCUGGGAGCUGAGCCUUCCACAUGUGCUUCCUCAGCUGCUUUCCAGCCUUAGAGGGGUCUCCAGUUAUCUGUACUUUCCGGUUUGGCUCAUCAUUUCAGUGACACUGUAUAUAUGGAUGGAAUUGUUUUUCAUGCAAAGAUGCUGUUUUUUUCCAAAAGCUGUGAUUUAGAACUUGGGCUAUUUAUUCUCUAUAUGGAUAGGGAUCUGGAUGGCACAUGAUUGAUCAGUGUGCUGCAUUUUGGAAGGAAAAGGAGGACACUGAUAAGUGUUUAU